GAUGAAGAAACGUAGCGAAAUGCGAUACUUGGUGUGAAUUGCAGAAUCCCGUGAACCAUCGAGUCUUUGAACGCAAGUUGCGCCCGAAGCCAUUAGGCCGAGGGCACGCCUGCCUGGGCGUCACACGUCGUUGCCCCCCCAUCUACUCCUUCGGGAUUGCGGGGGGCGGAUGAUGGCCUCUCGUGCGCCUCGUCGCGCGGUUGGCCUAAAUGCCAAGUCCUCGGCGACGCACGCCACGACAAUCGGUGGUUGCGAAACCUCGGUUGCCUGUCGUGUGCGGUCGUCGCGCAUCGAGGGCUCGAAAAAAUUGCCGGGCUUCGGCUCGACUUUCAACGCGACCCCAGGUCAGGCGGGGUUACCCGCUGAAUUUAAGCAUAUCAAUAAGCGGAGGA
rnacentral:misc_RNA from 1 species